GAUGAACGCUGGCGGCGUGCCUAAUACAUGCAAGUCGAGCGAACAGAUGAGGAGCUUGCUCCUCUGACGUUAGCGGCGGACGGGUGAGUAACACGUGGAUAACCUACCUAUAAGACUGGGAUAACUUCGGGAAACCGGAGCUAAUACCGGAUAAUAUAUUGAACCGCAUGGUUCAAUAGUUAAAGACGGUUUUGCUGUCACUUAUAGAUGGAUCCGCGCCGCAUUAGCUAGUUGGUAAGGUAACGGCUUACCAAGGCAACGAUGCGUAGCCGACCUGAGAGGGUGAUCGGCCAAACUGGAACUGAGACACGGUCCAGACUCCUACGGGAGGCAGCAGUAGGGAAUCUUCCGCAAUGGGCGAAAGCCUGACGGAGCAACGCCGCGUGAGUGAUGAAGGUCUUCGGAUCGUAAAACUCUGUUAUUAGGGAAGAACAAAUGUGUAAGUAACUAUGCACGUCUUGACGGUACCUAAUCAGAAAGCCACGGCUAACUACGUG
rnacentral:rRNA from 1 species